CUUUCCCAGCUGUACCAAGCCACAGAAGAAGAUGCCGAGAUCCGCAUCACUGCCUACUACUUCUUUAUGAAAUGUCCCAGUGAAGAAGCAUUUGCCUUGGUGCGUGAAACUCAGGCAGCAGAGCAGUCUACCCAAGUGGGAGCCUUCGUCUGGAGUCACCUCUCUCAGCUGCUGGAGACUGAUGACCCCCUCAAACGUUCCCUUCGGGACUCCCUCCCCGAUGACAUCCUCAGCCAAGAAUUUGAAUCUGAGACCUGGAAACAUUCCUCCUAUUCAGAUUUCACCUUUCGCUCAGGCUCCAGCAGUAUGGGUGCAAAUCUGGAGGCUACUCUGCUAUUCUCCCCAGCCUCCUUCCUCCCCCGCUCCCUCAUGGCCAACCUGACCAUCCACGUCAUGGGCCGUGCUGUCAACAUUCUGGAGCUUGGACUCCGGUUAGAAAAUGCCGAAAAGCUGGCUUACAGGGUGUUUGGUAGGCCGCCAGCGAUGGCAGCAUUCUGGGACGAUGAUGAGAAAAGUGAUACUGACACAGAACUGGCAGAUGGAG
rnacentral:lncRNA from 1 species